rnacentral:SRP_RNA from 1 species
GCCAGGUGUGGUGGUGCGUGCCUGUAGACCCAGCUACUGGGGAGGCUGAGGUGGGAGGAUCGCUUGAGCCCAGGAGUUCUGGACUGUAGUGCACUAUGUCAAUCGGGUGUCUGCACUAAGUUUGGCAUCAAUAUGGUGACUUCCUGGGAGCGGGGGACCACCAGGUUGCCUAAGGAUGGGUGAACUGGCCCAGGUCGAAAACGGAGCAGGUCAAAACUCCCAAGCUGAUCAGUAGUGGGAUUAAGCCUGUGAAUAGCCACUGCACUCCAGCCUGGGCAACAUAGUGAGACCCCCAUCUAU